AUUGAACGCUGGCGGCAUGCCUAACACAUGCAAGUCGAACGGGGCAGCAAUGCCUAGUGGCGGACGGGUGAGGAACACGUAGGAAUCUGCCCUUAAGUGGGGGAUAACCAGGGGAAACCCUGACUAAUACCGCAUGAUCUCUUCGGAGCAAAGAGGGGGACCGCAAGGCCUCUCGCUUCUGGAUGAGCCGACGUCUGAUGAACUAGUUGGUAGGGUAAAGGCCUACAAAGGCGACGUUAAGUAACUGGUCUGAGAGGAUGAUCAGUCACACCGGAACUGAGACACGGUCCGGACUCCUACGGGAGGCAGCAGUGGGGAAUAUUGGACAAUGGGCGCAAGCCUGAUCCAGAAAUGCCGCGUGUGUGAAGAAGGCCUUCGGGUUGUAAAGCACUUUAGCCUGGAAAGAAAAAACUUUGGUUAACACCCAAAGUCUUGACGGUACCAGGAGAAUAAGCACCGGCUAACUCGGUGCCAGCAGCCGCCGUAACAC
rnacentral:rRNA from 1 species